rnacentral:tRNA from 1 species
UGACUUUUAUUUCUUAGAAUAUUAAAUUGCAAAUUUAAAGGCUAUAAAGUCUA